GCCAAACAGCUAGCUCUAACAUUAAAACGCCCCGCAAUAUAACAAUAAAUAUUAUUUUAAUAAUUAAACUAAAUCAUUCUUUUACCUGAGUAUGGGAGACAGAAAGGGUUGAACCUGAAGCCAUAGAAAAAGUACCGCAAGGGAAAGCUGAAAGAGAAAUGAAAUAAACCAUUAAAGCAAAAAGAAACAAAGACUAAACCUUGUACCUUUUGCAUCAUGAUUCAGCAAGAAACCCCAAGCAAAGAGUCCUUUAGUUUGGAGCCCCGAAACCAAGUGAGCUACCCCGGGACAGCCUACAAAAGGUAGGGCAAACCCGUCUCUGUGGCAAAAGAGUGGGAAGAGCCCCGGGUAGAAGUGACAGACCUACCGAACUUGGUGAUAGCUGGUUGCUUAAGAAGUGGAUAGAAGUUCAGCCCCGCGUUCCUCAAGCCAUGACAAAUAUUUAAGAACGGCCAAGAGCAAGACACGGGAGUUAGUCACAGGGGGUACAGCCCCUUUGACAAAGGACACAACCUUUCCAGGAGAAUAAAGAUCAUAAUUCACAAGACUUACUGUUUUAGUGGGCCCAAAAGCAGCCACCUAAAUAGAAAGCGUUAAAGCUCAAACAGACGACAGUUUAUUAUAACUAUAAAUAAGUCUUACUUCCCUUAAAUUAUUAAGUUAACCCAUGCCCCCAUGGAAGAAACUAUGCUGAAAUGAGUAACAAGAAGGCCCGCCCUUCUCCCAGCACAAGUGUAAGUCAGAUUGGACAACCCACUGAAAAUUAACGAGCCCAAAUUAAAGAGGGUAGUGUGAGUAACAUAAAUACCAAGAAGACCCCACAACUUAAUCAUCGUUGACCCCACACCGGAGUGCAUUUUAUGGGAAAGACUAAAAGAAGGGGAAGGAACUCGGCAAACAAAAGCCUCGCCUGUUUACCAAAAACAUCGCCUCCUGCAACUCUUAAUGUAUAGGAGGUCCAGCCUGCCCAGUGACUACGGGUUCAACGGCCGCGGUAUUUUGACCGUGCAAAGGUAGCGCAAUCACUUGUCUUUUAAAUAAAGACCUGUAUGAAUGGCCAAACGAGGGCUUAACUGUCUCCCCCCUCCAGUCAGUGAAAUUGAUCUAUCCGUGCAGAAGCGGGUAUACUAAUACAAGACGAGAAGACCCUUUGGAGCUUGAGGUACAAGACUUAACCACGUCAAACAACUCCGUAAAAAGAUAAAAACUUAGUGGCAUAUAAGCAUUUACCUUCGGUUGGGGCGACCACGGAGGAAAAGAAAGCCUCCAAGCGGAGAGGGCCAGCACCCCAGAGCCAAGAGGGACACCUCUAAGCCACAGAACGUCUGACCAAUAAUGAUCCGGCACAAAGCCGAUCAACGGACCAAGUUACCCUAGGGAUAACAGCGCAAUCCUCUCCCAGAGUCCAUAUCGACGAGGGGGUUUACGACCUCGAUGUUGGAUCAGGACAUCCCAAUGGUGCAGCCGCUAUUAAGGGUUCGUUUGUUCAACGAUUAAAGUCCUACGUGAUCUGAGUUCAGACCGGAGUAAUCCAGGUCAGUUUCUAUCUGUAGCGCUACUUUUCCUAGUACGAAAGGAUUGGAAAAGAGGGGCCCAUGCUCAAAGCACGCCCCACCCCUAAUUAAUGAAAAAAAAUAAACUAAGUAAAGGGAGGGCCAAAACCCAACCGCCAAAAUAAGGACAC
rnacentral:rRNA from 1 species